GGGCAUUCACGAAUCGGUACAUGAAAUUUUAAUGAAUUUGAAAGAAAUUGUAUUGAGAAGUAAAUUAUAUGGAACUUCUGACGCGUCUAUUUGUGUCAAGGGUCCUGGAUAUGUAACUGCUCAAGAUAUCAUCUUGCCACCUUAUGUGGAAAUCGUUGAUAAUACACAACAUAUAGCUAGUUUAACGGAACCAAUCGAUUUUUGUAUUGGAUUACAAAUAGAGAGAAAUCGUGGAUAUCUUAUAAAAACGCCACAUAACUUUCAAGAUGGAAGUUAUCCUAUAGAUGCUGUAUUCAUGCCUGUUCGAAACGCGAAUCAUAGUAUUCAUUCUUAUGGGAAUGGGAAUGAAAAACAAGAGAUACUUUUUAUCGAAAUAUGGACAAACGGAAGUUUAACUCCGAAAGAAGCACUUCAUGAAGCAUCCCGAAAUUUAAUUGAUUUAUUUAUUCCCUUUUUACAUAUGGAGGAAGACAACUUAUAUUUACAGGACAAUCAACACACGGUUCCUUUAUCCCCUUUUACCUUUCAUGAUAAAUUGGCUAAACUCCUAAAAAACAAAAACAAAAUAGCAUUGAAAUCGAUUUUUAUUGACCAAUCAGAAUUGUCUUCCAGGAUCUAUAAUUGUCUCAAAAGGUCCAAUAUAUAUACAUUAGUGGACCUUUUGAAUAAUAGCCAAGAAGAUCUUAUGAAAAUUGAACAUUUUCGUAGCGAAGAUAUAAAACAGAUAUUGGGCAUUUUAGAAAAAUAUUUCGUAAUUGAUUUAGCAAAAAAUAAGUUUUAAAUCUAUUGGACUGACUUAGUGAAAAUAGAUUGAAAAAGCACAAUUUAGCACAAUUAAUAUUCUAAAAAGAAAUUCAUAAUUAAAUUGAAUAGAUGUAUCUAGGGAGAAUUCGCUUUGAAGAAACUAUUCCCUAGAUACACAUGUCGUGUUAGUUCACAAUUGAAUCAAUUAAAAAAUUUAAAAAAGACCUAAAGUUAGGGAUUUAUCAAUAGGUAAUGUUGCACCAAUGCCCAACCAAAGGGCAACUGCGGUACCAAUCAAAAAGACAGUCGUCGCUACUGGACGACGAAAUGGAUUUUGGAAUUUAUUAACAUUCUCUAAAAAAGGUACUGUUAAUAAUCCCACAGGUACUGAAACCAUUAAAAGAACUCCCAAUAAUUUAUUGGGCACUGUACGAAGUAUUUGAAAUACAGGAAAGAAAUACCAUUCAGGUAAGAUUUCCAAAGGGGUUGCAAAUGGAUCCGCCGGUUCACCAAUCAUUGAUGGUUCUAAAACGGCUAAGCCUACAUUACAUGCAAUAGUACCUAGAAUUACUACUGGAAAAAUAUAUAAAAGAUCAUUGGGCCAUGCGGGCUCGCCAUAAUAAUUAUGACCCAUACCCUUAGCCAAUUUAGCUCUUAAUACAGGAUCAUUCAAGUCAGGUUUUUUUGUUAUUGGGAUAGGUGAAUUCUUAUAGAUCCAUCCCCCGAGGGAACUGGACAUGAUAAUUUUUAAUCAUCCAGCUCGAGCAAGAAUAAAAAGAACCAAACGAAUCCAUAUAAAAUAUAUAUAUGGUACCUGUAUUUACACAUACACAUAUAUGAUAUAGAAAUGGUUCAAUGUAAGAAAACUUUGACUGAAUUCUUUUUUAUGAAGUUGCAACUNUAAAUAUCUCUGACUCAUAUUUAUGAGAUGAUAAAAUACGGCAAAAGCUAUACCAAAAAUUAGUUCACGUCGGAAUGGACGUAUUGGUUCAUGUAAGGGUGCACAUAGAAUACCAAAGGGAGUUAUUUAUGUUUAAGCAAGUUUCAGUAAUACCAUUGUCACUGUUACAGAUGUAUGGGGUCAAGUAGUUUCUUGGUCCUCAAUGGGUACUUCUGGAUUCAAAGGUACGAAAAGAGGAACACCGUUUGUUGCUCAAACCGUAGCAGCAAACGCUAUCUGUACAGUAGUGAAUCAAGGUAUGCAACAAGCAGAAGUCAUGAUAAAAGGUCCUGGUCUCGAAAAAAAUGCAACAUUACAAGCUAUUCGUCGAAGUAGUAUACUAUUAACUUUCAUACGGGAUGUAACUCUGAUGCCACAUAAUGGUUGUAGACCUCCGAAAAAAGACGUGUGUAGAACUAAACAUUGAAUAAAUCUCAAGAGAAAUAAAAGAUUCGAUGAUAUAAUCAAAUAAUUGUACUAUGGUUCGAGAGAAAGUAACAGUAUCUACUCGGACACUACAACAGAAGUGUGUUGAAUCAAGAACAGACAGUAAACGCCUUUAUUAUAGAUGUUUUAUUCUGUCUCCACUUAUGAAAGGUCAAGCCAACACAAUAGGCAUUGCAAUGCGAAGAGCUUUACUUGGGGAAAUAGAAGGAACAUGCAUCACACGUGUAAAAUCUGAGAUAGUCCCACAUAAAUAUUCUACCAUAAUAAGCAUUCAAGAAUCGGUACAUAAAAUUUUAAUGAAUUUGAAAGAAAUUGUAUUGAGAAGUAAAUUAUAUGGAACUUCUGACGCAUCUAUUUGUGUCAAGGGUCCUGGAUAUGUAACUGCUCAAGAUAUCAUCUUGCCACCUUAUGUGGAAAUCGUUGAUAAUACACAACAUAUAGCUAGUUUAACGGAACCAAUCGAUUUUUGUAUUGGAUUACAAAUAGAGAGAAAUCGUGGAUAUCUUAUAAAAACGCCACAUA
rnacentral:lncRNA from 1 species